rnacentral:rRNA from 1 species
CGCUGGCGGCGUGCCUAACACAUGCAAGUCGAACGAGGUCCAGGGAAGCUUGCUUCCUGAAGACCUAGUGGCGAACGGGUGAGUAACACGUGAGAAACCUGCCUCGGAGUGGGGAAUAACUCGGGGAAACUCGAGCUAAUACCGCAUACCUUCACAUGAUCGCAUGGUCGAGUGAAGAAAGAAUUUCGCUCUGAGAGGGUCUCGCGGCCUAUCAGCUUGUUGGUGGGGUAACGGCCUACCAAGGCAACGACGGGUAGCUGGUUUGAGAGAACGAUCAGCCACACUGGGACUGAGACACGGCCCAGACUCCUACGGGAGGCAGCAGUGGGGAAUCUUGCGCAAUGGGCGAAAGCCUGACGCAGCAACGCCGCGUGCGGGAUGACGGCCUUCGUGGUUGUAAACCGCUUUCAGCAGGGACGAAAAUGACGGUACCUGCAGAAGAAGCCCCGGCUAACUACGUG